AUCGAACGCUGGCGGCAUGCCUUACACAUGCAAGUCGAACGGCAGCACGUGAGCAAUCCUGGUGGCGAGUGGCGAACGGGUGAGUAAAGUAUCGGAACGUGCCCAGUCGUGGGGGAUAACGUAGCGAAAGUUACGCUAAUACCGCAUACGAUCUAUGGAUGAAAGCGGGGGAUCGAAAGACCUCGAUCGAUUGGAGCGGCCUAUAUCAGAUUAGGUAGUUGGUGGGGUAAAGGCUCACCAAGCCAACGAUCUGUAGCGCGUCUGAGAGGACGACCAGCCAAACUGGGAGUGAGACACGGCCCAGACUCCUACGGGAGGCAGCAGUGGGGAAUGUUGGAAAAUGGGCGAAAGCCUGAUCCAGCAAUGCCGCGUGCAGGAAGAAGGCCUUCGGGUUGUAAACUGCUUUUGUACGGAGCGAAAAGGUCCCCUCUAAUACAGGGGGCUCAUGACGGUACCGUAAGAAUAAGCACCGGCUAACUACGUGCCAGCCGCCGCCGUAA
rnacentral:rRNA from 1 species